CAAUAGCGUAUAUUAAAGUUGUUGCAGUUAAAACGCUCGUAGUCGGAAUUUGGCAGUUCCGGAUGUGUGCACGUCGUGUGCGCACUUCGCGGGGAUUGCUUUUGUGGUCUUGCGUAGGAUGAGGCACUUUUAUUAGUGAACGUCCUCACGCAACCACUUUUUACUGUGAGAAAAUCAGAGUGCUCAAAGCAGGCAUUUGCCGUGAAUGUAUUAGCAUGGAAUAAUAGAAUAGGACUUGGUUCUAUUUUGUUGGUUUGUUGGGACCGAGUAAUGAUUAAGAGGGACAGUUGGGGGCAUUUGUAUUUCGGUGCUAGAGGUGAAAUUCUUAGAUUACCGAAAGACAAACUGCUGCGAAAGCGUCUGCCAAGGAUGUUUUCAUUGA
rnacentral:rRNA from 1 species